AUUGAACGCUGGCGGCAGGCCUAACAAAUGCAAGUCGAACGAGUGGCGGACGGGUGAGUAAUGUCUGGGAAACUGCCUGAUGGAGGGGGAUAACUACUGGAAACGGUAGCUAAUACCGCAUACCAUCAGAUGUGCCCAGAUGGGAUUAGCUCGUUGGUGGGGUAACGGCUCACAAAGGCGACGAUCCCUAGCUGGUCUGAGAGGAUUACCAGCCACACUGGAACUGAAUCACGGUCCAGACUCCUACGAGAGGCAGCAGUGGGAAAUAUUGCACAAUGGGCACAAGCCUGAUGCAGCCAUGCCGCGUAUAUGAAGAAGGCCUUCGGGUUGUAAGGUACUUUCAGCGGGGAGGCGUUACCCGCAGAAGAAGCACCGGCUAACUCCGUGCCAGCAGCCGCGGUAAUAC
rnacentral:rRNA from 1 species